rnacentral:lncRNA from 1 species
UGGACAAAUGUGGUAUUCUACAUCCAGGUGAAAAAGGUCGGCUGUUGCUGUGUUCAGCCUUCCAGCAGACAAUUUGAAAGGUGCAUAGUCAUCAACACCAAAGUCACUCACAAUCUACCACAUAUAAACAGUAUUUGAAUGGGCUGAUUAAGUAACUCAAGACUGAGAUUUAAAUCCUACAGGAAAUAAAGUAGAUGAAACAAGCGUCUUCAUUUUCAUUUCCCUAGCUCUUCAAGAAACACAUGAAAAGUUGUUUCUCUACUCAAAAUGCUGAUAAAUUGGAAACACCUUUUCAGUGUCACUAAAUGAAUAACCAGUUACAUAUAAAUUCUCAGUGGCUGAUGUAAAUAAACCUACUUAAUUAAAAUCAGAAUGAGUUAUAAAACUGUUUCAGACUAUAAUUAACUAAAAAUAUCAAAAAGUAGUUCCAAACCAUUUUCAAUAUGCUGAACUUCACAAAAGUGCAAUCAACUCAGCUUUAUGAGCAAUUUCUCACUAUUACCAUAAUAAUAUGUCUUCUUUAGUGCAUGAACUUGAGCCUGCAAAUUUAUUAGUAAAGCCAACUGGCCUUCUUUUCUGUGACAGCCAUAAUUGUGAGAGAUCCAAAGCUAUACCGUUCCCUGGUGUGACCAAAAGCUCACAUCUACAACUCAGGUGGCUGGGAUUAUAAGUAUAUUAUGUAAUGAAGCAAAUUAGACCACAUUGUGUAGGAAACCCAUAAGCUUACUCUUAAUAGUACUGUGGUAAGAAAAACCUAGGGACUAAGCAAAUCAACAAGCAGGAAAUUUGCUCAUUUAUAAGUCAUCCAUUGGAUUAGCAAGCAAAAGGCAGAGAUUCUUUGAGAUAUUGAAGUUCAUUCAUUCACAUACUCAGUCACGCAUUAACCCAUUAAUUCUACUAAUUUUUACUAAGUGUCUCCUAUGUGUUUAGGAAAGAAAAGUGGCCUUACAGUCUAGGAGAGAAACAGAGAGGUAAUCAAAACAAUUUCAAUCCAGUCUGAUUUACGCAUCUUCAAAAACACUUUAAGCCAAGCAAAAUCUCUAUAUUUAUAUCACUCUGGAACUAUACCCAUACUUUUUAAAUAAAGUAAUUGAUCUUUAAAAAUUUAAACGAAAUCAGAAACUUCCUUUAAAGAUUGACAUUUGGCUGAAUAGCACCACCUCAGAACUACAGCCAGUUAACUGGUCACCAAUCUGACAAUGGAUGUAAGUAAAGGUACCAAAACAAAUAGAAAAAGAAAAACAUUCUUAUGGAGUAAGUAUCUUUUUGACAAAGACACUUGGGUUGCUGAAUACAAUCAGAGAAAUUUUAAAAAUCCUUGUGGCUAAUGGGCAAUUGCACAUGGGAUGACAGGCACUUUAAGGGGGAAAACCCCCAAAACCUUCAAGAAGGGCCAAGCUAUUUAAAUAUCUGUUUAAAUAUAUUUAACUUCUCUGAGCUGUUUCCGCUGUAAAAUAGGGAAAGAUCACAGUAUAUACUCCAUAGCGUUGUUAAAAGGAUUAAAUGACAUGCCCAUGGUUAUGUGCUUAACAGAGUGUCUGGCACAUACUAAGCAUUCCAUAAGUAUUAUCUCUUAUUGUCAUUAUGAUGCUAUUAUUAGCUCAGCAUCUUAUCUUUAUCUUGUGAAGACACUUUGUUUUUCUAAAUUUGAAUGCAACAGUCUAUUCAUAUAAACUUUCAAAUCAGAAUGUCUUAGUCAACUCAACAUAAUUCAAGAUUUACUUUUUAGAAUAUUCAACUGUGUUUGUGGUACUAUAUUAAGGAAGAUAAAGUCCCUUCCAGAGAAUAUUGCAAAACUGCAACAAAGCAGAAUUCUAGAUGUGAGAUAGCCUUGCUGACUUCAGACUGUUAGAAGGUCUUUCUUAGGAUAAAGUAAACCUGUCUCUACUUAAGUUCCUCCAAUUGGUCUUAACUCCUGUAGCCUUAUAGAGUAGGUAUGCUGAUACCAUCUUCUGUAUGACAGGUCUUCAAAUAUUGAGUCCUAGCUGAGACUUAUUUUCUCUGUACUAAAUAUUCCCAAUGUCUUUAACUGCUCCUUAUAUCAGGGGUCCCCAACCCUUGGGUCAUGGACUGGUACCAGUCCGUGGCCUGUUAGGAACUGGGCCACACAGCAAGAGGUGAGCGGUGGCUGAGCGGUGGGUGAGCCACCAUUAUAAUGCCUGAGCUCUGCCCCCUGUCCGAUCAGCCGCAGCAUUAGAUUCUCAUAGGAGCACAAACCCUACUGUGAACUGUGCAUGCAAGGCAUUUAGGUUAUGUGCUCCUUAUGAGAAUCUAAUGCCUGAUGAUCUGAGGUAGAACAGUUUCAUCUCGAAACUAUCCCCUUGCCCUUAGAAAAAUUGCCUUCCAUGAAACCAGUCCUUGGUGCCAAAAAGGUUGGGGACCACUGCCUUAUAUGACACAGUUUACAGAAAUCAGAGCAAAUUCUCCUUGCCUCACAGAUAACGGUUCAUUAUUUUCCAGCUAGUGAUAUUAAGUACAAGUUUUUAUAUUUCAAGGGGUUGAAGCUAAGAUCUUGGGAGGAUUAGGAAGCAACACAGGCCACUCAGUAACUUGUAAUCACUUGUGAUUGCCCUGUUUGGUGGAGUCAGUCCAAAUCCAUGUCUGCAUAGAUUAUAAGCCCAAGAAUCUAUGAAUCAGGAUUAGAUUCUUUUUCUUUUCCCAGUAAGCUAAAGAUCCAUCAGCUAAAGAAGUAGAAGCCUUAAGAAAAUCUGAAUAGGAUGGACUGAAUAAAAAUAUUCUGGAUUUAAAUUACUAACAGGGCUUUUAAAAGUCAACAGCAAAAAUCCAUUCAACUCGUUAUUAAUCUGCACCAAUGAUAAUUCUUUUUUCCCCCCCAGGACACACUGGUGGUUGACAAUAAUAAGAACUUUUUGAAGGCAAUGUCAUUGUAAGUAUAGAGUUAUGCUCUGGCCACAACUCACAUGAUAGGAUAAAAAUUAUCACCCAGAUUACUAAUGCAACAGCUUCCUCAUCAGGUUCCCCAAGACAAGUUUCUUCCCAUUCCAAUGCUUUCAAAUGCUUCACAAAGCUGAUUAAGUCAUAUAUCUGCUUUAAAACUCUCUUAGCAUCCUUAAUUGCUUAGAUAACAACAUACCAAUUCCUCAAACUGAGAUUCAAAUUCUUGUGCCCUCCACAGCCUGCCUCUCCAGACCUCAGACAGCUGUUACUCACUGUUUAUCCUUCAUCACGCCAUAGGCUACACUCCUAACACCAGCCAGCUGGCGAAUAUAUGACCUGUUUGUACAUGACAACCAUGACCAUCAUUACUCCAGAAAAGAAAACAAUUAAGCCACACAAUCAGCAAUACCUAAAGUGAGUCAACUGAAUUUCUGUGAGUCUGACUCUGACAACCUAUGGGACUUAUGCCAAAGAGGGGUUAUUCUCACUGGCUUUGGGCCAGUUUCUGCUGCUUUGAAUCCCUCCCUAUAACUUGGAUGAUUGACAAAUGUUGUGCCUCUUCCCAGAAUAUCAUUCUUCAGUCUUUUCAUAAGAAUGACUAGGACAAGAACCAUAGUGUCCUAUUUCUCAGAAGUUUCUGACCCUAUGCAUUGGGUGACAUCUCUACCACCAAAAAAUACCAACAGAGUACAUAGGAGCUAUGAACUAUCUAAGACAUACGGGCAAAGACAAGAAUACAUGCUAGUCAGCCUGAUGCUGCAAUUUAUACUCCUGAGCAUUUUGUUUCCUUAUCCCUGAAGUGUGGAUAUAAUACCUGUUCUCUGGGCAGCUGUGAGGAUAUGUGAGCUAAUUUAUGAAAAUGUAGAGUACAGUGCUUGGCACAUAGCUAAAACUCAGUAAGUGGCAGCUUAUAGAUAUCAUUAUUGGUGAAGAAACAAGAUGAAUUAUAUUGUACAUGUAUUUAUGUAAACCAAGGAAGGAUAAAAAAUAUUAAUGAUUUUAAAACAAUCUUUGGGGAAAUGACAGACUUCAAGGUAAUUUAAAACCCAUAGAGAUAACCUAACAUAUUCAAAUGCCACCAUUUGAUGGUAUACCUCCAAACUACA